UACGUAGGGGGCUAGCGUUGUCCGGAAUCAUUGGGCGUAAAGAGCGUGUAGGCGGUCCGGUAAGUCCGCUGUGAAAGUCGGGGGCUCAACCCUCGAAUGCCGGUGGAUACUGUCGGGCUAGAGUGCGGAAGAGGCGAGUGGAAUUCCUGGUGUAGCGGUGAAAUGCGUAGAUAUCGGGAGGAACACCAGAGGCGAAGGCGGCUUUCUGGCUGCUAACUGACGCUGAGGCGCGAAGGCUGGGGUAGCGAACAGA
rnacentral:rRNA from 1 species